AUUGAACGCUGGCGGCAGGCCUAACACAUGCAAGUCGAGCGGAAGAAGGGUGCUUGCUCCUUCUUUCGGGUGCCGACGGGCGGGUGAGUGAGAGGUAUCUGCGUGUCUAUGUGUUCUAGCGUGCGGAAAUGGGGACUCUUACCGUAUACCUCCUUAGGGCCUACGGGUGAGAUCUUGGGACCUCACGCCCUCACAUGAUCCUAGGACGGAUUAGCUAGUUGGUGGGGUAAAGGGCUACCAAGGCGACGAUCCGAAACUGGUCUGAGAGGAUGAUCAGUCACACUGGAACUGAGACACGGUCCAGACUCCUACGGGAGGCAGCAGUGGGGAAUAUUGGACAAUGGGCGAAAGCCUGAUCCAGCCAUGCCGCGUGUGUGAAGAAGGUCUUCGGAUUGUAAAGCACUUUAAGUUGGGAAGAAAAGCAGUAAGUUAAUACCUUGCUGUUUUGACGUUACCAAAAGAAUAAGCACCGGCUAACUUCGUG
rnacentral:rRNA from 1 species